GCGGUAAUUCCAGCUCCAAAAGCGUAUAUUAAAGUUGUUGCAGUUAAAAAGCUCGUAGUUGAACCUUGGGCUUGGCUGGCCGGUCCAUCUUUUUGAUGCGUACUGGACCCAGCCGAGCCUUUCCUUCUGGCUAGCCAUUUAUGGCGAACCAGGACUUUUACUUUGAAAAAAUUAGAGUGUUCAAAGCAGGCCUUUGCUCGAAUAUAUUAGCAUGGAAUAAUAGAAUAGGACGUUAUGGUUCUAUUUUGUUGGUUUCUAGGACCAUCGUAAUGAUUAAUAGGGACGGUCGGGGGUAUCAGUAUUCAGUUGUCAGAGGUGAAAUUCUUGGAUUUACUGAAGACUAACUACUGCGAAAGCAUUUACCAAGGACGUUUUCAUUAAUCAAGAACGAAAGUUAGGGGAUCGAAGAUGAUC
rnacentral:rRNA from 1 species